CUUGUGUCUGGGUUACAAUGAUAACAGUCUUUCCGGAGGGUGGCCCUAGAAUAGAGACUAUGUUGGUGGUCUGCCCCAGUGAUGGGGCUCUGCUGUUGAGUUGCUAUGGAAACAAGGUCUCUUUGCUGGCAGGCCCAUGGUCUGGGCCUUGGUGUUGGUCAUUCCUGGGGCGGAGCUUCACAACUGGUCAGCAUGGGAUCAAGGCCAAGUCUUGUGCUAGAGUGGUAAAGAAAAAAAAAUAGUCAAGCAAGAACAAGUUCUGUGCAUUCGCCAGAAUGCAUCUUGAAUCCAACACUUGUCACAAGGUAAAGACCUAGAGAUAUAAAAAUUCCCCCAAAUAAGCACUUUGGCUGCAUUCCACAAAUUUUGGGGGAUAUAAAUAGAAAGAUGAUAUAUAGAGAAAAAGGGAUUGUGUUGCAAGGAUCAAUCUUGAUAAUGGAAUUUGAGAACCUGUUGUUUAUCAUUGCUGGCCUUAACACCUGUUCUGAGGGAAAAAAAAGAAGAAAGGAUCAAAUCCUAUCAUCGGUGGUUUAUGUUUCUUUCACUGAUAUGUUCUAAUAGAUUUUGCAAUAGAGAUCCAUGGGAGAUUCUGGAGCAGAGGAGUGAUACUCAUCAAAUCUUUGCUUUUGACAGCUGUUUGGAGGUUGGAUUGAGAUGAAAAUAGCCUGGAAGCCAUAUGGUGACCAUGCUCACACUGAUGAUAUAAUGCCUCUUUUGAAAUAUUAACAUGUUGAAUUAUUGAACUAUGAUCAUAUAUUUGAUAUUAGAAAGUAGUUCAUUGUAAAGCGGUCCAUGGAUAAAUAGUUGCCUUUUACCAAACCUCAUGAAAUGAAUGAAUUCAUUUAAUUAGUAAAACAUAGGCUGUUGAGAGAAAAAGAAGAUAAGGCUAUUGUAUUCUCUCUGGAUUAUAACUCCACAUGGGAUCAUAUAACUGAAUAUGG